rnacentral:misc_RNA from 1 species
GUGUAUCAUCAAAUCUUUGAACGCAAAUUGCAAUGGCGGGGAUGACGGAAAGUAUGCCUGUUUGAGGGUCAGUAUUAAUAAAAAAUCGGGUUAGGUACAAAUUGUGACGUUUCCGGAGUUGGGGCUAUCUUAACAUUUUUGGUUAAGAGGCUUAAAAUUGACCUUUUUUGCGCAGUUUGAAACGUACAUAAAUUUUUUGUAUGCGUCUAUUGGGAAUGCCAAAAUCUUAU